AGUGAACGCUGGCGGUAGGCCUAACACAUGCAAGUCGAACGGCAGCACAGUAAGGGCUUGCUCUUACGGGUGGCGAGUGGCGGACGGGUGAGGAAUACAUCGGAAUCUACUUUUUCGUGGGGGAUAACGUAGGGAAACUUACGCUAAUACCGCAUACGACCUACGGGUGAAAGCAGGGGAUCUUCGGACCUUGCGCGAUUGAAUGAGCCGAUGUCGGAUUAGCUAGUUGGCGGGGUAAAGGCCCACCAAGGCGACGAUCCGUAGCUGGUCUGAGAGGAUGAUCAGACACACUGGAACUGAGACACGGUCCAGACUCCUACGGGAGGCAGCAGUGGGGAAUAUUGGACAAUGGGCGCAAGCCUGAUCCAGCCAUACCGCGUGGGUGAAGAAGGCCUUCGGGUUGUAAAGCCCUUUUGUUGGGAAAGAAAAGCAGCAGGUUAAUACCCCGCUGUUCUGACGGUACCCAAAGAAUAAGCACCGGCUAACUUCGUG
rnacentral:rRNA from 1 species